CCCUCAGUUUCUGAAUGGCUUCCUUUCCCCAGCAGAGAGAAAUAGCAGAGGAGAUUGUAAUGAAAUAACUCAAUUUAAAUAAAGAAAAGAUGGGCCUGCACAGAUCUGAUACCAUGCAGACAUUAUUGAAGCUUCUUCAGGCUGACCAGUACUUGGUAUCAACAGAUGGCUUCCUAGGAGCUCCCUAGGGACACAGUCUUGGGUUCAUCUCUUUCCUCCAUGUCUGCUGCGUCCAUUCACCUGUGACUGUUCCCAGCUUCAUGCCUCAGGACCUAAGUCUUAGCCCAAGCUGAAUUGACGUGGGAUCACAGGAGGAAGGGAAACAGCAGUUACUUCUGUGCUUCAUCUUGCUGUUUAUAGAAAUUCUAACGUCCUACAAAUAACCCAGAAAUUGGCAUGCAAGGCUGGUGAUGGAAAUGGUGUCGUGCUGAAAAGUGGCUCACACAGGAGUGGAUAAUGCCAUUCUAUAAUCAAUCCUGUUACCCAGGAACUUGACUGAUAUUUAUUCAUUCUUCUUCUGCCAGCCCCACAGUGUUCCAGAAACAGAAAAAAUAUGGAUUCAUAACUCACCCCUGCUAUCAAUUUCAAAAUAUAAAUUUGGUACUUUCUCCUCUAACUUUCACAGUAGAGCAUGCAACUCCCCACUUUUAAACACCCAUUUUAGAGGAGGAC